UCAAGCGCACCUAGGCUAGGUUAGCUGGGAGCGCAAACGAGCUAACAUCAGGUCCAGUCGGGCCGGCUGGAACAAACACAGGUGCACCGAGGCGAUAAAAGAGCCCCUGAAACCGCAAAAACGAAUGCACACAGGAGGACAGCUCACACGCUCGUUACUUACUCGGAUAUCUGGAUGAUCUCAGUGUUUCACUCCAUGUCGAGUCACUGAGAGCUCACGGGGAGGAUGAAUCAUGCGAGAGAGAUGUAGAGAGAGAGAAAGGGUGUGCUUGUGUUUACAUGACAGCCGAGCCGACCAGGAGGGGAAGUGACGCAGGAGACAGCGGAGGGGUGAGAGCUGCAGAUAUUACAUCGCUGCAGAAAGAAAGAGAGAGUGAAGAAGAAAAAGAAGAAGGAGGGACGGGGCAGGAAAACCACAGACCGAUAAAAGAGAGAUGCACAGGAACAAAGAAACUAAAGAACGAUCACUUUCUUUCCUGGUAGACUGCAGGAUCGACGCCCUGCCUCUGCUGCCGGAUCCACCGUAAACAAAGCACGCAGUAAAAAAUGAAGCUUUGCUUGUUCCAGAUCUGAGCCAACCGCCCUGGUUGCUAUCCACAGUCAUCAUCUCUCUGGCCAGCUGCCGCUCUCUGACCGGAGCAGACUCCAACUUUCUUGGCCGUUAGAGGACUUUCAUAACAGCCUCGGUAAUGGACACUCCUCAAAUAUUUCCUCAGCAAACGCUGGGUUUCCUAAGGGAUGGAAGAAAGGACAUGGGAAGAUGGUUCUCAGAGCAGCUCAUUAAAGGCCCAACGAGGCAGGGGAGUGAGGGAAAAACCACCCAGAGUGAGAUUACUUAAUGAUUAGAUUCAGAGUGUACUCACCUUCUCUGGGUAGCAUUGCUAUUAUUGAAACAGGACUCUUCUGUGGCUACUUAAUGUUGUCCUGCAAAGCCCUGCCUGUGAUACCGAGAGGCUACGAGCUCACACGGCAGCCAUUUCUGAUGCAAGCUAAUGACAAUACUGCUGCUGUCAGUGCAACAGUAAAAGUCUGAAAGUACAACACAGCUAUGCAUGAUGCUGUCUGGUUUAGCUAAGCAGCAUGCUACAAGCUGCAACCUUCAGUGAUGUAAAAUGAUGCCAAUGCCAAAAAAAUGCAGUUCCUUGAGUAUCGACUAGAUGCCGUCUCCAAAAGCUAAGGCAUCCCCAUUAGGUCCAAUGUUAAACUGCCAUAUUUUACAGCAGAAAUAAACAUGUUGACAGCCUGGGACAGAAACUGCUUUGGGCUGAAGUGCUCAUUUCUUAAUUUGUGCACACUGUUUUUUUUUAAUAAGGAAUCGUUUAUUUAUAUCAAAGCUAAGAGUUUUAUACUCUUGUAGGAGGGCUUCAGGCUGAUUUAUACUUCUGCGUCGAAUCGAUAGUGUAUGCUCAAGGUCUGCGUAGGCCUAGGCACGUAGCUGAUGUGCACCUCAUCCAAAAUGUAACUACCCGUAGAAUCGAUGCGGACCGCAAGCCCUGUGAUUGGUUCGCUUGGCGGCAUUGUGUUUCCCGCAUUUACAGCACUUCCGGGAUUGCCACUCAUCGGCAGCACAUUGGC